CGCGCAGGCGGCUUGGCAAGUCGGGUGUGAAAUCCCGGGGCUCAACCCCGUGACUGCAUCCGAUACUGUCAGGCUAGAGGUAGGUAGGGGAGAUCGGAAUUCCUGGUGUAGCGGUGAAAUGCGCAGAUAUCAGGAGGAACACCGGUGGCGAAGGCGGAUCUCUGGGCCUUACCUGACGCUCAGGCGAGAAAGCGUAGGGGGAGACGAACGA
rnacentral:rRNA from 1 species